rnacentral:rRNA from 1 species
GGAAUUACUGGGCGUAAAGAGCUCGUAGGUGGUUUGUCGCGUUGUUCGUGAAAUCUCACGGCUUAACUGUGAGCGUGCGGGCGAUACGGGCAGACUUGAGUACUGCAGGGGAGACUGGAAUUCCUGGUGUAGCGGUGGAAUGCGCAGAUAUCAGGAGGAACACCGGUGGCGAAGGCGGGUCUCUGGGCAGUAACUGACGCUGAGGAGCGAAAGCGUGGGGAGCGAACAGGAUUAGAUACCCUGGUAGUCCACGCCGUAAACGGUGGGUACUAGGUGUGGGUUUCCUUCCUUGGGAUCCGUGCCGUAGCUAACGCAUUAAGUACCCCGCCUGGGGAGUACGGCCGCAAGGCUAAAACUCAAAGAAAUUGACGGGGGCCCGCACAAGCGGCGGAGCAUGUGGAUUAAUUCGAUGCAACGCGAAGAACCUUACCUGGGUUUGACAUGCACAGGACGCCGGCAGAGAUGUCGGUUCCCUUGUGGCCUGUGUGCAGGUGGUGCAUGGCUGUCGUCAGCUCGUGUCGUGAGAUGUUGGGUUAAGUCCCGCAACGAGCGCAACCCUUGUCUCAUGUUGCCAGCGGGUAAUGCCGGGGACUCGUGAGAGACUGCCGGGGUCAACUCGGAGGAAGGUGGGGAUGACGUCAAGUCAUCAUGCCCCUUAUGUCCAGGGCUUCACACAUGCUACAAUGGCCGGUACAAAGGGCUGCGAUGCCGCGAGGUUAAGCGAAUCCUUUUAAAGCCGGUCUCAGUUCGGAUCGGGGUCUGCAACUCGACCCCGUGAAGUCGGAGUCGCUAGUAAUCGCAG